AUUGAACGCUGGCGGCAGGCUUAACACAUGCAAGUCGAGCGGAGUGAUGGUGCUUGCACUAUCACUUAGCGGCGGACGGGUGAGUAAUGCUUAGGAAUCUGCCUAUUAGUGGGGGACAACAUCUCGAAAGGGAUGCUAAUACCGCAUACGUCCUACGGGAGAAAGCAGGGGAUCACUUGUGACCUUGCGCUAAUAGAUGAGCCUAAGUCGGAUUAGCUAGUUGGUGGGGUAAAGGCCUACCAAGGCGACGAUCUGUAGCGGGUCUGAGAGGAUGAUCCGCCACACUGGGACUGAGACACGGCUCAGACUCCUACGGGAGGCAGCAGUGGGGAAUAUUGGACAAUGGGGGGAACCCUGAUCCAGCCAUGCCGCGUGUGUGAAGAAGGCCUUAUGGUUGUAAAGCACUUUAAGCGAGGAGGAGGCUCUUUUGGUUAAUACCCAGAAUGAGUGGACGUUACUCGCAGAAUAAGCACCGGCUAACUCUGUGCCAGCAGCCGCGGUAAGAC
rnacentral:rRNA from 1 species